AAUAGAUACCCGGGUAGUCCACGCCGUAAACGAUGAGUGCUAAGUGUUGGGGGGUUUCCGCCCCUCAGUGCUGCAGCUAACGCAUUAAGCACUCCGCCUGGGGAGUACGGUCGCAAGACUGAAACUCAAAGGAAUUGACGGGGGCCCGCACAAGCGGUGGAGCAUGUGGUUUAAUUCGAAGCAACGCGAAGAACCUUACCAGGUCUUGACAUCCCGGUGACCACUAUGGAGACAUAGUUUCCCCUUCGGGGGCAACGGUGACAGGUGGUGCAUGGUUGUCGUCAGCCCGUGUCGUGAGAUGUUGGGUUAAGUCCCGCAACGAGCGCAACCCUUAUUCUUAGUUGCCAUCAUUUAGUUGGGCACUCUAAGGAGACUGCCGGUGAUAAACCGGAGGAAGGUGGGGAUGGACGUCAAAUCAUCAUGCCCCUUAUGACCUGGGCUACACACGUGCUACAAUGGACGGUACAAACGGUUGCCAACCCGCGAGGGGGAGCUAAUCCGAUAAAACCGUUCUCAGUUCGGAUUGUAGGCUGCAACUCGCCUACAUGAAGCCGAA
rnacentral:rRNA from 1 species